UACGUAGGGGGCGAGCGUUGUCCGGAUUUAUUGGGCGUAAAGAGCGUGUAGGCGGCCAGGUAGGUCGGUUGUGAAAACUCGGGGCUCAACCCCGAGCCUGCAGUCGAUACGGGCAGACUAGAGUGCUGUAGGGGAGACUGGAAUUCCUGGUGUAGCGGUGAAAUGCGCAGAUAUCAGGAGGAACACCGGUGGCGAAGGCGGCCAUCUGGACGGUGACUGACGCUGAGACGCGAAAGCGUGGGGAGCAAACAG
rnacentral:rRNA from 1 species